rnacentral:tRNA from 1 species
GCGGGGGUGCCGGAGUGGUCAAACGGGACCGGCUUAAGACCGGUUGGCUUAGUGCCUUCCGAGGUUCGAAUCCUCGCCCCCGCA